rnacentral:rRNA from 1 species
UACGUAUGGUGCAAGCGUUAUCCGGAUUUACUGGGCGUAAAGGGAGCGCAGGCGGUGCGCCAAGUCUGAUGUGAAACCCCGGGGCUCAACCCCGGGCAUGCAUUGGAAACUGGCGGGCUGGAGUGCCGGAGAGGUAAGCGGAAUUCCUAGUGUAGCGGUGAAAUGCGUAGAUAUUAGGAGGAGCACCAGUGGCGAAGGCGGCUUACUGGACGGCAACUGACGCUGAGGCUCGAAAGCGUGGGGAGCAAACAGG